AUUGAACGCUGGCGGCAGGCCUAACACAUGCAAGUCGAACGAGUGGCGGACGUGUGUGCAAUGUCUGGGAAACUGCCUGAUGGAUGGGGAUAACUACUGGAAACUGUAGCUAACACCGUAUCCCAUCGGAUGUGCCCAGAUGGGAGUAGCUAGUAGGUGGGGUAAAGGCUCACCUAGGCGACUCCCUCUAGCUGGUCUGAGAGGAUGACCAGCCACACUGGAACUGAGACACGGUCCAGACUCCUACGGGAGGCAGCAGUGGGGAAUAUUGCACAAUGGGCGAAAGCCUGAGUCAGCCAUGCCGCGUGUAUGAAGAAGGCCUUCGGGUUGUAAAGUACUUUCAGCGGGGAGGCGUUACCAGCAGAAGAAGCACCGGCUAACUCCGUGCCAGCAGCCGCGGUAAUAC
rnacentral:rRNA from 1 species